CUUAAUUUUGCUUUAGUAAGUGGGUUCUGUUGGUGUGUGCAAUUUCUGCAUGCUAAUAAAUGUUCUAAACAAAAACCUAUUGUGCCCCCAUUUUUUUUCAUGUGCUCCUACAUUUUUUAACUUAGGGGCACGAGUGCUCCUGAAAAAAAAAGUUAGCGUAGAGCCCUGGUUACAAGACAUGAAUGUGGAUGAGGAUGUGGAAGAGGAUGUUGUGACUCUGCCACCACACCACAGAUGUGCAUCACACACAGCAAACCUUAUAUCAUGCUCUGAUGUGGACAAGUGGCUACUCUCAAGGCCAGACAUAAAAUCUGUGUACAGAAGUGCUACCUCAAAAUGUGCAGCUUUGUGGAAUAAGGCUAGCCGUUCCACAAUUGCUGCAGAGACCGUGGAUGAAGUCCUUGAAAGGAAGCUCCUUGUCCCAUGUACAACCAGAUGGAACUCCUUUCAUGAUGCCGUUGCUCGUGUCUGUGAAUUCCCGCUCGCCGAGCUGAACACCAUCUCCUACAAUUUUGGGUUGAAGGCCAUCACAGAUCGGGAGUACCAGUUCCUCAGAGAAUACUGCACAGUGUUGAAGCCACUAACAGUAGCCCUCGACAUUCUUCAGGGUGAAGACAACUGUUUCUAUGGCACACUCCUUCCCACACUGGAGACAUUGAUCUCCAAGACCCUGGACUUGAAGAGUGGCCUGCAAAUCCUUGGUGACCUUCCAGAGGCUGUUGUCAUGGCGAUCAAAACCAGAUUUGCAGAGGUGCUGGAAAGUGAGACUGCCGUCUUGGCUGCCGUGACACUGCCCAGGUUUAAACUACGUUGGCUGCGAACACAGGAAAGGAAGGACAAAGCCAAGGCAGGUUUGCUGGCAGAGUGCAGGAAAAGUGCCCAAGAUGAAGACCAGCUGACAGACUCUAACAACGUCUGCUGCAGCUUCGUUCUCGUCGUCAGAAGAUGAGGAAGACCAGUCAGCGCCAAUGAUGUCAACACCAUUGAAGAAUCCUCCCUCUGGCAGAGCACAGUUUUCACCAGGCCUCGAUACCAAUGGUGAAACCGACGAAAGCUAUCGGCCUGAAUCAACCCUCACCCCCACAUCGGCGUCGUCAUCAGAGGAUGAAGGUGUUAAGGAAUGGCGUGAAAAGAAGAUUAUUGUCAAUGAAUCCAGCGUAACUAUUCAAAUUUUGCCAGAUGUGUGGGAAACCGAUUUCAUCUAAGACCAUCUUUGAUUCUGGCGCACAGAGGCACAGAGGUGAAAUGGAUGUGUCUUGGGGGCCAUUCUGGGACCUGGACAUCUUCACCUGACGUAAGAGGAAUGCCAGAGGUUAAUCUCCUUUCAGCUGCAGCUGUUCUGUUCAGGGGCGGCACAUACACGGAACUCUCAGACUGGUGCCAAACCAUGGGUCUCCAAAUGAUUGGAACAACUACGUUUUAUAACAUUCAGAAGGCGUACUUGCACCCUGCUAUUGAGAACGUGUAUUGGGAGAAAAGAACAGAACUCUUGGCAAGAGUUCAUUUGGAACAGGAAGAUGGGAAGAGGCCACAUUUGGCAGGUGAUGGCCGAUGUGACUCGCCAGGCUUCAAUGCAAAAUACUGCCACUACACCUUUAUGUUGGACGACACAAAGGAGAUACUCCACACAGAACUGGUGCAGUGUAGAGAGACCACCAGCUCUGGAACCAUGGAGCCACUGGGUUUUACGAGAGGAAUGACUGAGCUUCUGGACUUGGGCCUUGACGUGGAGGUGAUGGCCACGGACCGCUCCACAUCAAUACAAAAAAUAAUUCGGGAACAAUAUCCUAGUGUCCAGCACGAAUUUGACAUCUGGCACACAGGAAAAGGUAUGUAUUUUUUGCCAUUCUUGUAAACAUACACACGCAAUUCUUCUCCGGGCCUACCCCCCAUUGAUAGCUCAUGGUAUCACUCUUCACCCCUGCCCAGAUCUGUGCAGCCUCGCUGAACUUAGUCAUUGUAGAGGUGUGAUUUCCUUUCAUUCAAGAAAACACACAAUCCACACGUCUACACUGGCUGAGGGAAGCAAUGCUUCGAAGCUCUGGGAGGGGGUUGAGAGUGAGAAACUAGAAGGUGUGUGUGGAGGCUAUCUUAUAAACCCUCUGCAUGGAUCUCAAAAUGUUCUCAACACAUAGCAAAAUAGAAUCAUAGGUCCAGAGGGUGUUCCAUGAACGGAGGUAUAACAAACACUGACUGUACGUCCACACCAGGAGCGACACUCUCAAAGUUUCGCUACAAAUUUUUCUGUUCGCUUUGGUCGUUCAUGACGUACAAUUCAAUUAUGCAGACGCAUUUAAAGGAGCCGUUUGCGUUUAGUAGGCCCUACAGACAGCCAUAUCAAAUAGUGAACUCUCCCAUACACCUUUGCCAUAUUGCCGAGACGGUUUUGCUUGUUCGAUAAAGUGCUUCGACAACAAGUAGGACAGUGAUUCCCCCCAAUAUAAAAAAAAAUCCUAAAAUGUAGGCUAAUUACAACCGAGAACAAAAAACCCUGCGUGCUGUAGUAGUUAAAAUAUGUUUCACUGAUCUGCAUCUGCAAAUCAUGAUCUGCACUCAUUCGUCGCACUCAAAACAAAUAGACAUUGGCGCACAUGGCUAAUUUGCAUACGUGCACAGGACUGGUUGGCUCCGCAAGGCAAAUAAUGGAACAUAUCUAUCUAUCUAGGCCUAUCUGUCUAUCUAUCUAUCAACGCGUGUCUAGUUUUAAUGUGAUGUAUUGUGUGUAUGUCCAGUCAGACUUGUUCUGUGUGGUCUUGUAGGCUACUGUCCUGUGUGGGCCGAACCACCUAAAUGGAUUCCCGGCGAUUUGUGUCGUUUGGUAUUAAUAAAGACUUGACUAGGCGAUCUAUCUAUCUAGACUAUUUAAUUAACAAUUAUUCACCUCAGUCUCCGUGAAUGGUGGGGAAUAGAGGGAUAAAAGA